rnacentral:misc_RNA from 1 species
GAUGAAGAACGUAGCGAAAAGCGAUAAGUAAUGUGAAUUCCAGAAUUCAGUGAAUCAUCGAAUCUUUGAACGCACAUUGCGCCCCUUGGUAUUCCGAGGGGCAUGCCUGUUCGAGCGUCAUUAUUACCCUUCAAGCUCAGCUUGGUGUUGGGGCCUGCUGUAACUGGUAGCCCUUAAAAUCAGUGGCAGUGCUAUUAGGCUCUAAGCGUAGUAAUUCUUCUCGCUAUAGUGUGUAGUGAGCGCUUGCCAGAACCCCAAACUUUUAUAUGAUUGACCUCGGAUCAGGUAGGGAUACCCGCUGAACUUAAGCAUAUCAAUAAGCGGAGGA